GAUGAAGAACGUAGCGAAAUGCGAUAAGUAAUGUGAAUUGCAGAAUUCAGUGAAUCAUCGAAUCUUUGAACGCACAUUGCGCCCGCCAGUAUUCUGGCGAGCAUGCCUGUUCGAGCGUCAUUUCAACCAUCAAGCCCCAGGCUUGUGUUGGAGCCCUGCGGCUGCCGCAGCCUCCCAAAACCAGUGGCGGGCUAGCUAUCACACCGAGUGCAGUAGUUUACUCUUCGCUCAGGGCGUGUGGCGGGUGCUAGCCGUGAAACCCCCAACUUCUCAAGGUUGACCUCGGAUCAGGUAGGAAUACCCGCUGAACUUAAGCAUAUCAAUAAGCGGAGGA
rnacentral:misc_RNA from 1 species